UUCUUUUCUUGUAGUUGUUCUCUUCUCCGCACCCUUGCCUCUCCACAGAACCUACUACUCCACGCACAUACACACAUCGCAACAGCCAACGCAGCAGUACCAGCAUCACCACCGCGGUCAACAUCCAAGGGAGCGACGUUCAAGCUCCCGCCUCCACACACACAUACACGUGAGGCACAGACAUAUCUAUAUAUAUAUAUAUAUAUAUAUAUAUAUAUAGUCGCGCACCCGCACCCAUCAGCAAUCCAACCCCGUCCUCGCACUUUUCUAUCGUCGCACUCUGUCCCCCUCCCCCCCCCUCACGCACACGCGCACGCCCUUCUGCGAAGUCCGACAAGGGGACGGGGGAACGCUCAAGAAGAGACGCAGGCGUCACGAUGAACUUCCUCGGCGGCUCUCUUCGCAGCGGUGGCGGCCACCGCAGGGACAAAGGAUUCUCUGCCAAGAAUAAGGUGCAGCAGUACCACGGCGACGGCAGCGAGUCGAUUAUCCUCGUGGGCCGCCCGUUUCGCGUCCUGCAGAAGAUCAGCGACGUGCCGCCGCCCUACAUGGUAGGCCGUCAGCGCUCCACGAAAUACGGCGAGGGCGGCAGCUCGUACGUGUACCUGGUGGAGAACACGAACCACCUGCCCGAGUUCCCGCGGCAUCUGGCCCUGAAGCGAUCAUUCUUCGGGGUGGACCAGGUCACGGAGGCGCACAAGGAGGUCGAUAUCGUCUCUCACAUAGAGGACAAGAAUAUUGUGCGCGUGUACCACAGCGAAAUCUCGCGCAGUGAGGGACGCCUCGGCGUCAGCAUCGCGAUGGAAUACUGCUCCAACAACCUUUACCGCCGCAUCCGCAGCAGCGCCGGCACCGGCCCCGGAACCCGGCUGACCGAGGCCGAGAUUUGCCAUGUCAUGUUCGCUGUGACGAGCGCUGUCGGGUACCUGCACGCGCAGCAGCCGCCCAUCACGCACCGCGACAUCCGCCCCGAGAACAUCCUCAUCAACAACAAGCACGCCGGCCCCACCGCGUACAAGCUGACAAACUUCGGCAACGCCACCACGGAGGCGUACCAGUGCGAAACCCGCGAGGAGGCGAACAUGGCGAUUGCAGAUAUUCAGAUGCACACAAACCCAGCCUUCCGCGCGCCGGAGAUGGCGGACCCGUGGAGCAAGAAGCGCAUCUGCGAGAAGACAGACAUGUGGGCAAUGGGCGUGCUGCUCUACUACAUGAUGUACCUGUGUCUCCCCUUCGACCCAAGCACCACCAUUGGCAAGGAGAACUGGGUUGUCACUUUCCCCUCGCAAGCGAUGACUUCCUACACAACGUCGCUGCGGGUCAUGGCCGAGCACCUGCUGGACCCCGACCCGUGCUCCCGCUGGGACGUCUUCGCGCUAACCAACUACAUGCGCUUCGACGAGGACUGCAGCCGUCACCUCGGCACCUUCUGCUUCACCAAGACCGAGUGGCCGGAAGGGUGGGAGGAGCAGGACGUGAAGGUUCUGGGGCGCGCCCCACCGCCGAAGGCACCGCCAGUCUCGUACAACGAGCCCGGGCACGAGCAACUGGACAGCCGCGGCCUCACCGGCCAAGAACGCGUCUACGGCCACGUCAACAGACAUCAACCCCCCGAUGACCGCGGAAACGGCAGAGAUAACGCUGUCGUCGACAGCGAUGCGGUGCAGGAAGCAAUGAUAGUCCUCGGCGGCGACCCAGCGGACGACGACCCAGCGGUGGCGGAGUGCCGUCAUCAGAUCAUCAUGGAGCAGCAGGAAGCGUGGAGGCGCGCCAAGGCGGCGGCCGGUCUCCGAGACUCCCCGCCAAUGGAGCCUCAGGAGAGCAGCGCGGCGCCGGCACCCACCAGGGCGAGCAACGGGGCCGAGAGGGACGUCUUUGACGACCUCUUUGCCAGUGCGUCGCCGACAGUGUUCCCAACUUCUCAGGCCCCGCCUGUCAUGAGUCCCUCAGCUCCGCCCGCGACUCAUCAGCCGCCGGAGAAGGACGCAUUCAGCGCCAGUGAUCUCUUCAGUACUUCGGCGCCGCAGCUACACCCGUCGUACCCAAUGAUGAGCACCUAUGGCCAAGCGCCACAGCAGAUGGCGAUGGGCGGCUGGGGUAGUGGAGCGCCUGUGAUGGGGGGUGGCGGGUACCCAAUGCAACAGCCUCAGAACCAGCAGCAGGCCUCGUGGGGAUACGGCGUUAGCAACGCGAACAACUACGCUCCUCCUCCUCCUCCGCAGCAGCAGCAGCAGCAGCCAUUCACGAACUUUCUGGCCCCUGUGCCGGGCCAGCAGCCGAGCCAGCAGCCGGAAACAAGCCAGCCACCCACGGCCCGGGCGACAGCCAAGAGGGACCCCUUCGCCGAUCUCUUCAACUAAGCAGAGUGUGUAUCUUCGUGAGUGCUGGAGCUUAUGCGUUGCAAGCGGGCAGAGGAGGGGGCACGCAAGUGUACGGCGGUACACACUUUGUAACGGCGAUGGUCGCUCUCACCACCACCACCAGCAGCAGCAGCAGCAGC
rnacentral:misc_RNA from 1 species